UACGAGGGGGGCAAGCGUUGUUCGGAUUUAUUGGGCGUAAAGGGUGCGUAGGCGGUUUGGCAAGUCUUAUGUGAAAUCUUCGGGCUCAACCCGAAGCCUGCAUAAGAAACUGCCGGGCUUGAGUAUGGGAGAGGUGAGUGGAAUUUCCGGUGUAGCGGUGAAAUGCGUAGAUAUCGGAAGGAACACCUGUGGCGAAAGCGGCUCACUGGACCAUAACUGACGCUGAGGUA
rnacentral:rRNA from 1 species